rnacentral:misc_RNA from 1 species
CAGAAACACUGAGGUUGAGUUCAGGAUUGCUUAUGCGAAUUCUAACGCUUGAAAUUGAAAUGAAUCCGGAGUUUAAAAAUAUUAGGAUCUACUGUAAUUUUGCAUGAGUCCUAAUCUGAUCCGAUUUGCUCUGAUUCGAUUUGAACUCUUGUCCAACCAUUGAUUUUCACAAAUGAUCUCUAAUUGGGGUGAAUGAGGUGUCCACGUGAAGCUUGCGAUGAGUGGAGUCCGUUAGUACCCUUGGUUUCGCCGGACAGUCAUCGUAGUCACCGGAAUCGUCGCCGAAAGCCGCAAAAAACCCCAUUUCUGAUCACCCCUUUUAUGGCUACCUCAGCUACUACAAUCGAUUGGAAAAUGAAGCCCACGUCACUAGGAGUUGAAUGCCACCGGUUGGGAUUACCGGAUAUCACGCAAAAAAAGUCACGAUCCUUCUUCUCUCUUUCUGUGCGACACACUGCCAGCCCAUCACUGUUCGCCGCCGUUCUUGGCCUGGGGAGGAUCGCCGGACGCCGCUAGGUUGCUGGGGAGGGUUGCCAGCUGCCGGUGGUUGCUGGGCAUAGGGGAGAGUGUGAGUGAGGGAG